rnacentral:sRNA from 1 species
AGAAGCUUCGACCAAGGUGCGACUCGAGCGCCAGCGAGAAAGCGUUGCCGCAGGCAACGACCCGAAGGGUGAAGCGCGCAGCGCUGAGUAAUCCUUCCCCCACCACCA